AAAACUAGCAUCAAAUUGACAAUGUAACUCCCAAAAUUGUCAACUGUGCUUAUUUUCAAAUUUAAAGAAGCAUGAUCCUUCAAGAGGCCAAAACUUGUACAUCACUCCAAUUCAUCCUCUUACUUGUACACCAAGGAGGGAAAACAAUCCCCAUUGGACACUCCUACAACAGCUACCUCGACCUUGUCCCAUUAAUAUUUAAUGAUGAAGUACCUAAUAAUAUUUUUCCUAAAUGGUCCACCUCAGUGUUACUGAGAGUGCAAUUUGUUAUGGGAACAAG
rnacentral:misc_RNA from 1 species